GAUGAACGCUGGCGGCGUGCCUAAUACAUGCAAGUCGAGCGAACAGACGAGGAGCUUGCUCCUCUGAUGUUAGCGGCGGACGGGUGAGUAACACGUGGAUAACCUACCUAUAAGACUGGGAUAACUUCGGGAAACCGGAGCUAAUACCGGAUAACAUGUUGAACCGCAUGGUUCAACAGUGAAAGACGGUCUUGCUGUCACUUAUAGAUGGAUCCGCGCCGCAUUAGCUAGUUGGUAAGGUAACGGCUUACCAAGGCAACGAUGCGUAGCCGACCCGAGAGGGUGAUCGGCCACACUGGAACUGAGACACGGUCCAGACUCCUACGGGAGGCAGCCGUAGGGAAUCUUCCGCAAUGGGCGAAAGCCUGACGGAGCAACGCCGCGUGAGGGAAGAAGGUCUUCGGAUCGUAAAACUCUGUUAUUAGGGAAGAACAAAUGUGUAAGUAACUAUGCACGUCUUGACGGUACCUAAUCAGAAAGCCACGGCUAACUACGUG
rnacentral:rRNA from 1 species